GAGUUUGAUCGUGGCUCAGAGCGAACGCUGGCGGCAGGCUUAACACAUGCAAGUCGAGCGGGCGUAGCAAUACGUCAGCGGCAGACGGGUGAGUAACACGUGGGAACGUACCUUUUGGUUCGGAACAACUGAGGGAAACUUCAGCUAAUACCGGAUAAGCCCUAACGGGGAAAGAUUUAUCGCCGAAAGAUCGGCCCGCGUCUGAUUAGCUAGUUGGUGAGGUAAUGGCUCACCAAGGCGACGAUCAGUAGCUGGUCUGAGAGGAUGAUCAGCCACACUGGGACUGAGACACGGCCCAGACUCCUACGGGAGGCAGCAGUGGGGAAUAUUGGACAAUGGGGGCAACCCUGAUCCAGCCAUGCCGCGUGAGUGAUGAAGGCCCUAGGGUUGUAAAGCUCUUUUGUGCGGGAAGAUAAUGACGGUACCGCAAGAAUAAGCCCCGGCUAACUUCGUGCCAGCCGCCGCCGUAAG
rnacentral:rRNA from 1 species